rnacentral:rRNA from 1 species
GACGAACGCUGGCGGCGUGCCUAAUACAUGCAAGUAGAACGCUGAGGAGCGGAGCUUGCUCUUCUUGGAUGAGUCGCGAACGGGUGAGUAACGCGUAGGUAACCUGCCUGGUAGCGGGGGAUAACUAUUGGAAACGAUAGCUAAUACCGCAUAAAAUUCAUCAUCGUGUGAUAAUUAAUUGAAAGAUGCAACUGCAUCACUACCAGAUGGACCUGCGGUGUAUUAGCGAGUUGGUGAGGUAACAGCUCACCAAGGCGACGAUACGUAGCAAACCUGAGAGGGUGGGCGGCCACACUGGGAGUGUGACCCGGCCCAGUCUCCUUCGGGUGGCAGCAGUAGGGAAUCUUCGGCAAGGGGGGGGAACUUGACCGCGCUACGCCGCGGGAGUGAAGAAGGUUUUCGGAUCGUAAAGCUCUGUUGUAAGAGAAGAACGGGUGUUCGAGUGGAAAGUUCACACUGUGACGGUAUCUUACCAGAAAGGGCCGGCUAACUACGUG